AUCUGUUUAAAAAAAACAGGACCGUUUAGACAUAUGUUUAAAUUCUUAACGAUYUUUAAAUGCUUAUGAAACUUAAAAAUCAUAAAUUUAAAGAAAGGCGUUAUGAAGAAAGCUCUUUUAAGCUUUUCCAGUGAUUUAAGAUGAUACCGGGGAAGGUUUUCCGGUUUAUCCCGGAGGGCUUGUAGCUCAGUUGGUUAGAGCGCGCGCUUGAUAAGCGUGAGGUCGGAGGUUCAAGUCCUCCCAGGCCCACCAAUUUAUGCUCGUUUUUUGCUUAAUCUUUAAGCGUAUGAAGCUUUAGCGUAUGAGAGCCUCUUUAAUCUUUAGCUUGUUUUAAAGAUUUAAUUUUAUCAUUCAGAGAUUAUUUGUUACGUUUAUCUCAUUAAGUUGAUCAAAAAGAAGUAAAUUGAUCAAAAAGAAGUUUGUAAAUUUGUCUCCCAUUCUCUUUCUCAAAGAGAAGUUUGUCCAAGAGAAUUUUAAAAUUCCUUCAUUUUAAAUCCCUUCAAGGGUAUGAAAAAAUCAAAGGGAUAUGAAAAAGUUUAAAAGGAUAUAGAAAAAAUUAAAAAAGUACGAGGCAAAUUUAAAUGAUACAAAUCAAAAUGAAACAAGCCAUUCAAGUUUAUAAAUAUGCUUGA
rnacentral:misc_RNA from 1 species